UACGGAGGGUGCAAGCGUUAUCCGGAUUCACUGGGUUUAAAGGGUGCGUAGGUGGCUUUGUAAGUCAGUGGUGAAAUCUUAGAGCUUAACUCUAAAAACUGCCAUUGAUACUGCUUAGCUUGAAUCAAGUAGAGGUGGAUGGAAUAUUACAUGUAGCGGUGAAAAUGCUUAGAUAUGUAAUAGAACACCGAUUGCGAAGGCAGUUCACUAUGCUUGUAUUGACACUGAGGCACGAAAGCGUGGGGAUCAAACAGG
rnacentral:rRNA from 1 species